AGUGAACGCUGGCGGUAGGCCUAACACAUGCCAGUCGAACGGCAGCACAGUAAGAGCUUGCUCUUACGGGUGGCGAGUGGCGGACGGGUGAGGAAUACAUCGGAAUCUACUUUUUCGUGGGUGAUAACGUAGGGAAACUUACGCUAAUACCGCAUACGGCCUACGGGUGAAAACAGGGGAUCUUCGGACCUUGCGCGAUUGAAUGAGCCGAUGUCGGAUUAGCUAGUUGGCGGGGUAAAGGCCCACCAAGGCGACGAUCCGUAGCUGGUCUGAGAGGAUGAUCAGCCACACUGGAACUGAGACACGGUCCAGACUCCUACGGGAGGCAGCAGUGGGGAAUAUUGGACAAUGGGCGCAAGCCUGAUCCAGCCAUACCGCGUGGGUGAAGAAGGCCUUCGGGUUGUAAAGCCCUUUUGUUGGGAAAGAAAAGCAGCAGGUUAAUACCCCGCUGUUCUGACGGUACCCAAAGAAUAAGCAUCGGCUAACUUCGUG
rnacentral:rRNA from 1 species